CAGCAGCCGCGGUAAUACGUAGGGUCCGAGCGUUGUCCGGAAUUAUUGGGCGUAAAGGGCUCGUAGGCGGUUUGUCGCGUCGGGAGUGAAAACCAGCAGCUUAACUGCUGGCCUGCUUUCGAUACGGGCAGACUUGAGGCAUUCAGGGGAGAACGGAAUUCCUGGUGUAGCGGUGAAAUGCGCAGAUAUCAGGAGGAACACCGGUGGCGAAGGCGGUUCUCUGGGAAUGUUCUGACGCUGAGGAGCGAAAGUGUGGGGAGCGAACAGGAUUAGAUACCCGCGUAGUCCCUGUCUCUUAUAA
rnacentral:rRNA from 1 species